AUAGCUAAUACCGCAUAAAAUUGAUUAUCGCAUGAUAAUCAAUUGAAAGGUGCAAAUGCAUCACUACCAGAUGGACCUGCGUUGUAUUAGCUAGUUGGUGGGGUAACGGCUCACCAAGGCGACGAUACAUAGCCGACCUGAGAGGGUGAUCGGCCACACUGGGACUGAGACACGGCCCAGACUCCUACGGGAGGCAGCAGUAGGGAAUCUUCGGCAAUGGACGGAAGUCUGACCGAGCAACGCCGCGUGAGUGAAGAAGGUUUUCGGAUCGUAAAGCUCUGUUGUAAGAGAAGAACGAGUGUGAGAGUGGAAAGUUCACACUGUGACGGUAUCUUACCAGAAAGGGACGGCUAACUACGUGCCAGCAGCCGCGGUAAUACGUAGGUCCCGAGCGUUGUCCGGAUUUAUUGGGCGUAAAGCGAGCGCAGGCGGUUAGAUAAGUCUGAAGUUAAAGGCUGUGGCUUAACCAUAGUACGCUUUGGAAACUGUUUAACUUGAGUGCAAGAGGGGAGAGUGGAAUUCCAUGUGUAGCGGUGAAAUGCGUAGAUAUAUGGAGGAACACCGGUGGCGAAAGCGGCUCUCUGGCUUGUAACUGACGCUGAGGCUCGAAAGCGUGGGGAGCAA
rnacentral:rRNA from 1 species